UUCUUGAUUUUUUUUUCCUGAAAUGGUCUGUUUUGACAUGUUAUUGCAUGAUGCUUUUCCGCGUCGUGUGUAUUUGCGAUUUUGUUGAUUUUGGCUUUUUUGCAUGCUGGAACAUGUACAUUCACAAUUAUCUGAUCAGAAACAACAUGCACGAAACUGCCUGAGAUUUUCGCCAGAGAGGCUAAUGUCUGUCCCAAGGCUGUUGCAUUGGAACCUCCUGAAGGGUUUCUGUCAGAAUGGUGGUCGUUAUUUUGGAGUGUAUACUCUACUCAUUGCACAAAUCAUGCUGAAGCACUAGAAGACUCUUCAUCAAAGGCAACUCAGAAUGCUGGAAGUGUGUCUCAGAAUGUUAAUUCUGUUAUGCUGGACCCAGAUGUCGAUUAUAUUUUACAGACUCGCCCCACAGUGCAAAUGCCAGGACUUCCUAGUAUGCUACAAACUCUCAAUCCAAGGCCAGACAUAGAAAAUUUGCAGCAAAGUGAUGCUUCGAGAAUGAUGCCAAGGCCAAUAUUAGAACUUCCUAUUUCAGACUUCAGUACAAGGCCAGGACAAACUUCAAGAAGUUUGAUAACUGCACCAAUAUUGGAGCAAGAGCGUCUUAAGCUUCCUGUCAGGGACUUGAAUUCUGACUCGCAGGUUCUAAAUGUCAAUGAAUUAGCUUGCAUGCUGCCAUCUUCAAGAAAUUCUAGAAUGACAAAGGUGGUGCUAGUUUGAGGAGAUCCACUGCCGCAGAACCAACUUAUCAUCCACCACGACCUAUUCAACCCGAAAUAAGACCUGCUGAUAGAGAUUCCCAAGGGUGUCUUCAGCUUCCUGUCAAGAACUUGAAUUAUAACUCGGAGCUUUGUGAUUUUGAUCAGUUACGUUGCUUACUGCCAUCUUCAAGCAAUUGCAGCAUGCUUUCAGGAACUUAGUUUGUUUCACUUGGUCCCACGAACAUCCGGGGAGCUGAUUUACCUGCGUCUUGAAGUUCAUCCAAAAUUGCUAAAACGAAAAAGAUGUUGAGGUCGCAUGUGUAACUGUUGACUCAAGGACACUAAGUUUGGCGUGUAAGGGCGCAAAGAUCUUUUUGACUAGUUGUCAAGACAACUUGCUGGACUGUCCGAGUUUCCUCAUGCUAUACAUCUGCUAAUAACCUCUGCAUCUGCUAUGACGCUAGAUGUUCGUAAAGCUGCUGAAGCAGGCUUUAGUGAAAUAGUCAGGGUUUGUGGACACGAAAUGGCAUGUGACACAAGUUUUGAAAAGUGUACAAGGUUCUUCUUUUAGCUAUUGAUGUCGAACAACUGUAACCGUAUAGGAUUUUCAAGAAAAUAUCGAAUCGAAUAGAUUGAUUUUAGCAACCAUAACAUCCAAAACCAGCUCAAAGGUUGGAAAAUCCAAUGCUUAUGGUGAUCGUGCGCUUCCAUCAUGGCAAGGAACAUAGUUGCA